UAUUCAACUAGGUUCCAUUAGCCUGGGUGAAUCAACCUUUAUUUGAUUACAGGUGUCAGUUUUGUAAUGGAGUCAGCAAGACACUACCUUGUUGGCCUGUUAGUCCUGAAGAACCACUGGAGGACCUCCUCAAUCCUAUUGGUACUGUUGUCACUAAUUCUAAUGCAGCUGAUGCUCCAUCAAUCAGUGUUCAGUUCAAGGAGUACAGUCAGCAGCCGAUCAUAUACCCCAGCAUGGAGAAGGUACUUGAGCUAGCUUCUAAAGAAAUGACUAAUUACAAGGAAGAGAGAGUAGCAAAGACCUAUGAGCAGGAGCUGAAUGAUAUAGUGGAGAGAGACCCACUGGCUCCACUCUAUGAACAGGACAAGACAUUAAUAUGGAGGUUCAGGAUGUACCUACUGGA